rfam:Danio rerio chromosome 25 genomic contig CTG2378, GRCz11 reference primary assembly.
CCAAAGGCUCUUUUAAGAGCCACCCAUGUUCUCCUCUAAAGAGCUA